rnacentral:tRNA from 1 species
GGAGGGGUGGCCGAGCGGUUGAAGGCGGCGGUCUUGAAAACCGCUGUCCGGCUCUGUCGGACCGGGGGUUCGAAUCCCUCCCCCUCCGCCA